CCAGGUAUCAGGAACACCUGGAAGGCACCAAUGGAUGCAAUCUGCAUAAACAUUUGGCUCUGAUCUCUGCUCUCUGGCUUGAUCCUGCUCCCCAGAAUGGCCCUUUGAUAGGGUAUGUCUCGUUAUGGCAGUUUCCUUCGCUCCCCCGUCUCCAUUCCCAGCUCCUGAGUUUACCAAAGGUGAGUAGGAGACAGAGUCAUGAAGAAUGCUUUCUGGGUUUGAGGAUUGAGUGUCGAUUCAACCCAAUCAGUCCAAGUUUUCAGUGCUAAUCUCCACGUUCAGCAUUCAAACAUGACAUACUUGGGAUUCUUCACUUUGUUUCGGACCAAUAUUUUCUACAUUCAAGCAUAUAUGUGCGUGUGUAUCACGA